ACUCCUACGGGAGGCAGCAGUGAGGAAUUUUGGUCAAUGGACGCAAGUCUGAACCAGCCAUGUCGCGUGAAGGAGGACGGCCCUAAGGGUUGUAAACUUCUUUUGCAGUGGAAUAAAGUUUGCCACGUGUUGGCGAUUUGCAAGUACGCUGCGAAUAAGGAUCGGCUAACUCCGUGCCAGCAGCCGCGGUAAUACGGAGGAUCCAGGCGUUAUCCGGAUUUAUUGGGUUUAAAGGGUGCGCAGGCGGGGAAUUAGGUCGGCGGUGAAACUUCGGGGCUCAACCUCGACAGUGCCGUUGAAACCGUUUCUCUUGAGUGCGGAUGAGGUAGGCGGAAUUUGUGGUGUAGCGGUGAAAUGCGUAGAUAUCACAAGGAACACCGAUUGCGGAGGCAGCUUACUAAACCGUUACUGACGCUCAUGCACGAAGGCGUGGGGAUCAAACA
rnacentral:rRNA from 1 species